GACGAACGCUGGCGGCGUGCUUAACACAUGCAAGUCGAGCGGUAAGGCCCUUUCGGGGGUACACGAGCGGCGAACGGGUGAGUAACACGUGGGUGACCUGCCUUUAGCUCUGGGAUAAGCCUGGGAAACUGGGUCUAAUACCGGAUAUGACCCUAUGGCGCAUGUUGUGGGGUGGAAAGCCUUGUGCGGCUAGGGAUGGGCCCGCGGCCUAUCAGCUUGUUGGUGGGGUGAUGGCCUACCAAGGCGACGACGGGUAGCCGGCCUGAGAGGGCGACCGGCCACACUGGGACUGAGACACGGCCCAGACUCCUACGGGAGGCAGCAGUGGGGAAUCUUGCGCAAUGGGCGAAAGCCUGACGGCAGCGACGCCGCGUGAGGGAUGACGGCCU
rnacentral:rRNA from 1 species